rnacentral:rRNA from 1 species
UACGUAGGGCGCAAGCGUUGUCCGGAAUUAUUGGGCGUAAAGAGCUCGUAGGCGGCUUGUCACGUCGGGUGUGAAAGCCCGGGGCUUAACCCCGGGUCUGCAUUCGAUACGGGCUAGCUAGAGUGUGUUAGGGGAGAUCGGAAUUCCUGGUGUAGCGGUGAAAUGCGCAGAUAUCAGGAGGAACACCGGUGGCGAAGGCGGAUCUCUGGGCCAUUACUGACGCUGAGGAGCGAAAGCGUGGGGAGCGAACAGG